rnacentral:rRNA from 1 species
CCUACGGGAGGCAGCAGUGAGGAAUAUUGGUCAAUGGACGAGAGUCUGAACCAGCCAAGUAGCGUGAAGGAUGACUGCCCUAUGGGUUGUAAACUUCUUUUAUAUGGGAAUAAAAUGUUCCACGUGUGCGUUUUUGUAUGUACCAUAUGAAUAAGGAUCGGCUAACUCCGUGCCAGCAGCCGCGGUAAUACGGAGGAUCCGAGCGUUAUCCGGAUUUAUUGGGUUUAAAGGGAGCGUAGGUGGAUUGUUAAGUCAGUUGUGAAAGUUUGCGGCUCAACCGUAAAAUUGCAGUUGAAACUGGCAGUCUUGAGUACAGUAGAGGUGGGCGGAAUUCGUGGUGUAGCGGUGAAAUGCUUAGAUAUCACGAAGAACUCCGAUUGCGAAGGCAGCUCACUAAACUGUGACUGACAUUGAUGCUCGAAAGUGUGGGUAUCAAACAGGAUUAGAUACCCUUGUAGUC